UACGGAGGGUGCAAGCGUUGUUCGGAAUUAUUGGGCGUAAAGCGCGUGUAGGCGGCUUGGCAAGUCGGGUGUGAAAGCCCUCAGCUCAACUGAGGAAGUGCGCCCGAAACUGCUGAGCUCGAGUGCCGGAGAGGGUGGCGGAAUUCCCCAAGUAGAGGUGAAAUUCGUAGAUAUGGGGAGGAACACCGGUGGCGAAGGCGGCCACCUGGACGGUCACUGACGCUGAGACGCGAAAGCGUGGGUAGCAAACAGG
rnacentral:rRNA from 1 species